rnacentral:rRNA from 1 species
UGGGGAAUAUUGCACAAUGGGCGCAAGCCUGAUGCAGCCAUGCCGCGUGUGUGAAGAAGGCCUUCGGGUUGUAAAGCACUUUCAGCGAGGAGGAAGGUGGUGAACUUAAUACGUUCAUCAAUUGACGUUACUCGCAGAAGAAGCACCGGCUAACUCCGUGCCAGCAGCCGCGGUAAUACGGAGGGUGCAAGCGUUAAUCGGAAUACUGGGCGUAAAGCGCNCGCAGGCGGUUUGUUAAGUCAGAUGGUGAAAUCCCCGGGCUCAACCUGGGAACUGCAUUUGAAACUGGCAAGCUAGAGUCUCGUAGAGGGGGGUAGAAUUCCAGGUGUAGCGGUGAAAUGCGUAGAGAUCUGGAGGAAUACCGGUGGCGAAGGCGGCCCCCUGGANGAAGACUGACGCUCAGGUGCGAAAGCGUGGGGGAGCAAACAGGAUUAGAUACCCUGGUAGUCCACGCUNUAAAACGAUGUCGAUUUUGGAGGUUGUGCCCUUGAGGCGUGGCUUCCGGAGCUAACGCGUUAAAUC